UAUUGGCUUACUGGUUAGAGCGUCCGCCUCGGAAGCGGGAGGUCGUGGGUUCGAACCCCGGCCAAGUCAU